CGGUACACAAGCCCCCCAGUCUUAAGCUGAAGACUUGUCUUCAGCGCAAAGACUAAGGCCUCGCCCACGCCGUCCACGUGUCACCCUGGUGACGUGUCAUUCCCUGCUGACUUAACACUUCUCGAAUUAUUGACGUGACACUCUCUGAACCAUGGGGGUGCCCUUAAUGGCUGAUUGGACAUCCUCUGAAGCGGGGAAAGUAACACCUUUUGGGGCCACGCUUAAUCGCGUGCCACGUGGCUCAUCACACGGCCAGCCUCUAGAGUCCCUUGCGCUCCCCUUGAGCGCUUAAUCCUUUGACACGCGGCACGAUCACACGGUCCCCAAUUAGCGCCUCUUGGGUUGCAAAUGUAACGUUCAAGUUACCCAAAACCCCGCGCUCAAACCACUGUUUCAUCCAUUCUCUCUGCAUUUCUGCACUGUUCAUCGCCUUCGAGCCCUUUCUCUGCAAUCACUGCUCUUUCCUUCGC
rnacentral:lncRNA from 1 species